GGGAGGUGUGUUUUGACAGACACAAUUGCAGCCGAAUUGAGGAAGAAAAUUCAAUACUUUCUUCUGAAAAUUCGGAACUACGUAAUUCGCUUUCCUCCAUGGAAGCUGAAAACAGGAGUCUGCAAGAAAAGCUCGAAAGAGCGGAGUUAGAAAUCGAAAGACUAUCGCUAGAAAAUAGUCUACUUAUGGACAAUCUGCCGGAAGAAGAAACUGAAGAAGUUGAUGUAGGUUCACCUCUAUCUUUAAUAU